rnacentral:misc_RNA from 1 species
UCCUCGUUUAAGCGAGGCAGUCUGUCCAGAGUGCUUCGAACUCUCGUUCAAGUGGCAACAGGACAUAAGGGUUGCGCUCGUUGCGGGACUUAACCCAACAUCUCACGACACGAGCUGACGACAGCCAUGCAGCACCUGUGUAAGCUCCCCUUGCGGGGUCGUCACCCUUUCGGGCUUCUACCACCUACAUGUCAAGGCCAGGUAAGGUUCUUCGCGUUGCAUCGAAUUAAGCCACAUACUCCACCGCUUGUGCAGGCCCCCGUCAAUUUCUUUGAGUUUUAGCCUUGCGACCGUACUCCCCAGGCGGCUCACUUAACGCGUUAGCUUCGGCACAGACCAAAUGAAUGGCCCACACCAAGUGAGCAUCGUUUAGGGCGUGGACUAC